UACAGAGGUCUCAAGCGUUGUUCGGAUUCAUUGGGCGUAAAGGGUGCGUAGGUGGCAUGGUAAGUCGGAUGUGAAAUCCCGGGGCUCAACCCCGGAACUGCAUUCGAUACUGCUGAGCUAGAGUACUGGAGAGGAGAUUGGAAUUUACGGUGUAGCAGUGAAAUGCGUAGAUAUCGUAAGGAAGACCAGUGGCGAGGGCGGAUCUCUGGACAGUUACUGACACUGAGGCACGAAGGCCAGGGGAGCAAACGGG
rnacentral:rRNA from 1 species